UACGGAUCAAUAGAAGUCGUAGUCCUCGUAGGAUCUUAAAUCGUAGAAAAUUGACUAAUCGACGAUUAUUCUUCUCAUUCGACUAUGAUUGGUUAAUUUUCUACGACUUAAGACCCUACGACUGCUACGACUUUUGUUCUAGACUUUUGUUCUCCGCAUUACGUAUUCGAGAUUUAAAAAAUAAUCUUACGAUAUUACAAACGGAAACAAUUGAUGUUCAAAUAUUAAAGUGCUUUUACAUAACUCGUAAAUCGCAAAACGAAGUUCGCAAAUGCAGAGACAGAAUAAAGAUUUGCGUUUGUUUUUUCAUCGCAUACAGUUAGUUUUCAUCUAUGUGUGUUUUGCGUGCGAUGAUCAUCAUUCUGUUUCAGCAUUUACUCAGCACGAACUACGUUUUGAAUUUGCGAAUUAUAUAGAGACAUCCUUAAGGUCAACAAUUAAAUCAAAUACGGACGUCGGACACGCACGAUCCAACCGACCAAUAACUAUCCCAGUGAGAGGUGUAAGUUCGUAACGACCACCCUCGCAAACCGCAGAGAAUUCCCAAAAGGCUUGGAUCUGUGACGCAGAAAACCGCAAGAUUCGUAUCGUCCGAUGUGGACAUAGACAAGCUCUAUCUUGGGAAAACACUUCCGAAAUACGAUCAGAAUGAAAUCACUAAUUUGUGAUUUCGGAUCUGUCUGGAAUAACCGUAUCGAGGGACACGGCGGAAAAUGAAAAUAAUGACAAUACAAUGACUAACACGGCCUGUUAUUACGAGUACACCAGUGGCAAUGUAACGGAUGGCAGCGUAAUCUAUUGGCCGGCUUUGUCCUUGCCCUCGAGGAAGUUGGCGAGCUUCCAGGUUCAAAGGUACCUCGUCGUUGGACCGAUCUCGGCGUCGCUCGUUACGAUCACAAACGACACAAUUGGGAAACCAAAAUAGAAUCAGCUCACCGUUCCAGGUAUACGGUUCACGAAUUAUAAUAA
rnacentral:lncRNA from 1 species